ensembl:ncRNA T16G1.15 ncRNA
AAUGUCAGAGCGAGGCGGAUUUGGAGCGCCGCCGGUCAGAGCAAAUAGUGUCAAAUCUGCCUUCUUUUUCUUCCGAUUUCCUCCCGAAUUAUUAUUUUCGGUUGAUUCAGACCGGAAGCAAAUAGAAACUAUCAUUAGGU